rnacentral:sRNA from 1 species
AUCUUCAGGAAACAGAGAGCAAUAUAGGAAA